rnacentral:tRNA from 1 species
GCCUGGACUGGUCGAUGGACGCUGCGCUGCUACUGGCGGCGCUCGCCGCGCGCGCAGGCGACCGUGUCGACUUCCUCGCCC